GAUUACAUGUCAUUCUAGCAAAUCAAUCAUUGCUCUCAAUCCCGGCCCUAUAGGAAGGUUUGACAACUAGUGGCAAUCACGGCCCCACUCGGCACGACCUUUAAUUAGGUGGUCCAUCACGGUCUCACUGGGCACGACCUCUCAUAGGUGGUCCAUUACGGCCUCACUGGGCACGACCUCUCCUAGGUGGUACAUCACGGCCUCACUGGGCACGACCUCUCCUAGGUGGUACAUCACGG
rnacentral:lncRNA from 1 species